CCUGGCUCAGGAUGAACGCUAGCGGCAGGCUUAACACAUGCAAGUCGAGGGGCAUCGGGAGUAGCAAUACUUGCCGGCGACCGGCGCAAGGGUGCGUAACGCGUGAGCAACAUGCCCGUAUCAGGGGGAUAAUCCAUGGAAACGUGGUCUAAUACCCCAUAGUAAUUAUGUAAGGCAUCUUAUAUAAUUUAAAGCUUUUGGUGGAUACGGAUUGGCUCGCGUGACAUUAGCUGGAUGGUAAGGUAACGGCUUACCAUGGCUACGAUGUCUAGGGGUUCUGAGAGGAAGGUCCCCCACACUGGUACUGAGACACGGACCAGACUCCUACGGGAGGCAGCAGUGAGGAAUACUGGUCAAUGGACGAGAGUCUGAACCAGCCAAGUCGCGUGCAGGAAGAAUGUCCCUAUGGAUUGUAAACUGCUUUUGCAGGGGAAUAAAGUGCAUCACGUGUGAUGUUUUGUAUGUACUCUGCGAAUAAGGAUCGGCUAACUCCGUGCCAGCAGCCGC
rnacentral:rRNA from 1 species